GUAGGUGGCAAGCGUUGUCCGGAAUUAUUGGGCGUAAAGCGCGCGCAGGCGGUCCUUUAAGUCUGAUGUGAAAGCCCACGGCUCAACCGUGGAGGGUCAUUGGAAACUGAGGGACUUGAGUACAGAAGAGGAAAGCGGAAUUCCACGUGUAGCGGUGAAAUGCGUAGAGAUGUGGAGGAACACCAGUGGCGAAGGCGGCUUUCUGGUCUGUAACUGACGCUGAGGCGCGAAAGCGUGGGGAGCAAACAGGGAUUAGAUACCCUGGUAGUCCACGCCGUAAACGAUGAGUGCUAAGUGUUAGGGGGUUUCCCGCCCCUUAGUGCUGCAGCUAACGCAUUAAGCACUCCGCCUGGGGAGUACGACCGCAAGGUUG
rnacentral:rRNA from 1 species